rnacentral:rRNA from 1 species
ACGGGUGAGUAACGCGUGGGAAACUACCCUUUGGUACGGAAUAACACAGAGAAAUUUGUGCUAAUACCGUAUGUGUCCUUCGGGAGAAAGAUUUAUCGCCAAGGGAUGUGCCCGCGUCGGAUUAGCUAGUUGGUGAGGUAACGGCCCACCAAGGCGACGAUCCGUAGCUGGUCUGAGAGGAUGAUCAGCCACAUUGGGACUGAGACACGGCCCAAACUCCUACGGGAGGCAGCAGUGGGGAAUAUUGGACAAUGGGCGCAAGCCUGAUCCAGCCAUGCCGCGUGAGUGAUGAAGGCCUUAGGGUUGUAAAGCUCUUUCGCUCGCGAGGAUAAUGACGGUAGCGAGAGAAGAAGCCCCGGCUAACUUCGUGCCAGCAGCCGCGGUAAUACGAAGGGGGCUAGCGUUGUUCGGAAUCACUGGGCGUAAAGCGCUCGUAGGCGGAUAUUUAAGUCAGAGGUGAAAGCCUGGAGCUCAACUCCAGAACUGCCUUUGAUACUGGGUAUCUUGAGUCCGGUAGAGGUGAGUGGAACUGCUAGU